AGAAUUUGAGAAUUUAUUUAAAAUUUUCAAGAAAAAAACCUAUAUGGUUUGAUAUUCGAAUGAGAAUAGAGAAAAUAUGGGUUACAAAAUUCUAAAACCCUAGAAAUGAAUUAAUAUGUACUUGAAGGAAUAUCAAGAAUAAGGUAUUACGAUACCUGUAAAUUCGAUGUGAACUGAAUAGUCUAAGAAAUGUUAUAUAAGUACCUAUGGAAAUUUUAUUAUUGGAGAUAAGAUUUCACAGGAAGAGAUGCN
rnacentral:lncRNA from 1 species